CAGGGAUGGUGAAACCGGCAGUAAAUGUCACCGUAGCAAUCAACACCGAAGCGAUCCCGAGAUUAUGUUUCUCGAUUUCUGGACAAAUCCACAUGUUUCUCGAUUUCUUUAGCCCCGUUGCUGGCUGAUUUUUCUUUGACCCUAUCAUCGCCGGAUGGUUUCUCUAAUUUGGCCUCAUCGCUGGAUAAUUCGACCCUUUUUAAAUCAUGCAAUUCUCGUGGACCGGAGUUAGCCUCUAUUAAAGCCAAGCAGCUAGCAAAUCAGUAUUCUGCAUUCUACAGUACAAGAAUAAUUUUAGAACAUAAAAAGAG
rnacentral:lncRNA from 1 species